AAGUCUGACCUGCCCAAUGAGGAGUUGAAUGGCCGCGGUAAUUUGACCGUGCAAAGGUAGCAUAAUCAUUAGUUUUUUAAUUGAAAGCUGGAAUGAACGGUUGGACGAGAAAAUAACUGUCUCAAUUUAAAUUUUAUUAGAACUUUAUUUUUAAGUAAAAAAGCUUAAAUGUUUUUAAAAGACGAGAAGACCCUAUAGAGUUUUAUAUAUAAUUGUAUAUGAGAGUAUUAGUAUGUAUUUAUGAGUAUAUAUUUAUAUAUUUUAUUGGGGUGAUAGGAAAAUUGAAUUAACUUUUUUUAAAACUUAAACAUAAAUGAAUGAGUUUUUGAUCCGUUGUUUACGAUUAUAAGAUUAAAUUACCUUAGGGAUAACAGCGUAAUUUUUUUUGAGAGUUCUAAUCGAAAAAAGAGUUUGCGACCUCGAUGUUGGAUUAAAAUUAAUUCUUGGUGUAGGUGCUAAGAUAUUAGGUCUGUUCGACCUUUGAAAUUUUACGUGAUCUGAGUUCA
rnacentral:rRNA from 1 species